GCCACCUACCAAAGCGCCGACCUCAGCGCCCAGAUCCAUCGCGCCGAGGCCCUCGCUUAUGCUGCCCGGCGCUCGACCGUUACCCCUCCUUCCCUCUCUCGCGUUGUCUCUCGCGCCGCCGCCCCCGCUCCUCUGUCCCCUCUCGCUCCUCCUCCGCCCAAGCCGCGCCGCGCCCGAAGCCAGGCCGCACGCCCGCACCAAACCCUAGCCCCCGGGCCUCCCGGGCCCUUGCCGCGAGAUGCUCCGCCCCCUGCCCCCUGAUCCUCCUCCUCUGCGGUCGCCGCCGCUCCUUGCCUGCCCGCCGAUACGGGCCGCUACGGUCCCUUCCCUACCGCCGCCGGCCAUGGCGGGGGCUGCCUACCGCUGCCGAUUAUCGCGGCCGAGGGCGCGCUAGCUGUCGUCGACGGUGCCAUUGCGACCGCCGCCUUCGUUCAGGAUUAGGAGCGAAGGAGCACGGGGCAUCUCUACGACUCUACCUGAUAAUUUUGCUUGUUUCAGUUGAAACAGGAUAAGUUGGGUGCAUGGAUGUGGAUUUGUUCUCAUGGCUAGCCCACAGAUAUUGCUUCUUGCUUCUUUUCAAAUGCUACUGUCAUUCUGCCGACUAGCUAUGCUGCUGGGAGAUGGCUCCAGUACCCAGCUCACAAUGGCAGCCUCAACCACCAGGCAGCUGACUCCUGAAAGGCUGAAGACUACUUGAGUUGUGAACUCCAAAUCUUUGGAAUUAUGUACAUGUGAACUGCGACAUGUAAUUGAGAUGUGAACUCAAUAUUUGUGCUAGGUCUUAUGUGAACUCAGGAUUUGUGCCAAGUUAUAUGUGAACUUAGUAUUUGUGAAGUAAAAUUUCAGGCAACAGCUUUUGUGCUAA